GGUGCGCGGGGCCCUGGGAGGCCUCGGCGACGCUGCUCAGCAGGGCCAGAGCGGCCAGGAUUGGCCACAGGGCAGACUGCGCGGAGAGAAAAGUGCAGCCUCAGGAAGGAAGCGGGCACCGAGGUGGCAUCACUGGGAGAACUACUCACCUGCUGCCUAGGCUGGGGCCAGCGGGGCAGCACAGAAGGGCCUCCAUAUCCGGGCUCCAUCUCUGUCAAUACCAGGAGCUCCCAUCAGCUGUAGUUGACCUGUUCCCACCCCCACCGCCAGCCCCCUUCUCUUCAGGCAGCUCAGAACAUUGAGAGCAGGCCACUGCUCUCCUUCAGUGUCUCCAGGCCAGGAACAAGGGGCUUGGAAGACUGGACCCAACCCAGGCGGAGAAGUAACUACAUGAGAACCUAACUAUGUG